rnacentral:rRNA from 1 species
GACGAACGCUGGCGGCGUGCCUAAUACAUGCAAGUCGAGCGAGCUUGCCUAGAUGAUUUUAGUGCUUGCACUAAAUGAAACUAGAUACAAGCGAGCGGCGGACGGGUGAGUAACACGUGGGUAACCUGCCCAAGAGACUGGGAUAACACCUGGAAACAGAUGCUAAUACCGGAUAACAACACUAGACGCAUGUCUAGAGUUUGAAAGAUGGUUCUGCUAUCACUCUUGGAUGGACCUGCGGUGCAUUAGCUAGUUGGUAAGGUAACGGCUUACCAAGGCAAUGAUGAAUGGCCGAGUUGGGAGACGGAUCGGCCAACUUGGGACUGAGAAACGGCCCAAACUCCAACGGGGGGCAGCAGGAGGGAAUCUGCCACAAUGGACGAAAGUCUGAGGGAGCAACGCCGGGGGGGUGAAGAAGGGUUUCGGCUCGUAAAGCUUUUUUGGUAGUGAAGAAAGAUAGGGGUAGUAACUGGCUUUUAUUUGGCGGUAAUUACUUAGAAAGUCGCGGCUAACUACGU